GCCCAAAUGUGGCCCUGCCACGAAUCUAAGAAAGUAAAUGUUACUGGUUUAUGUGUGAGUUGAUAAAAGAAGGAGAGCUUUGAAUCAGGCCAAUGAAUUUGGGGCUGUUUUUCUGAUUAUCAUGUAGUUUUCAUCUCAUAGAACACAUGACACAUCAGUUAUUUUCCAUUUCCUGUUCUGAACUGUACAAAUUUCAUUCCAUUUUACGUAAUUCUAGAAAUAUCUGAGAGAUGAGCUGGAUUUUUUCCCAAAUUUCAGACUCUUCAGCAAAGGAUUUCACUUUAUGAAAAAGAAUAACACAGAAAAGAAAAAGAAAAAAAAAAAAAAAGUAAAGCAGGCUCUGCCUAUUCUCUUCUGCCGAAAAAUGAAGAAGGAAAAACCUUCACACGAGCUGGAUUGAGAUGAAAAAUCCUUUGAGGAAAUUGAGAUUCCAGGGACCGUGAGCAGAUUGGAUGCCAUUUGUUGAACAGAACGUCCCUGCAAAGCCAGGGAAUAUUUCUAGAAAAUCAGCGAUCCGUGUCAUGGGCUGACACAUUGGAGAAAGCCGAGUGGCAGGAAAGGGGGGUAAUUAACCCUCCUUGCGGCCACAUUUGGGAGAUUUUUAUGAGUAACCAUUGACAACUCUGCCCUUGUUAGGAGCUGUCUGCCUGCCUUUGCCCACUGUGAGCCUCACCAUCUUUGGGCCAUUUGCAGCCACCUCCAAGGUGGACCCUGGCUCUGCAUUUGAAGGAAAAGCCCUCUCUCUAGUUCCCCUUUUUGGCUGCAUCAAAAGAAGCACAAUGUGGAACUGGUCCAAGACGGGGCAUUCUCUGCUCCACUGAACUUAUUCAUGAGAAGGAAGUGUAUGUAGCAAGUCUGCCCAUCAGGAAGACCAGCCCGUCCUGCUGGCAAAGGGUUAACCAAGCCGAAUCCAGCUCUGGAUGCCAACAGAGACCUAGCAUCCCUCUGCCCUCAGUCACAGUGUGUCAGACACUGGCACAUCCCAGGACAUAUGACAGUUCCUGCAUCUGAUGACAGCCUGAAGCUUGCACAACAGCUUUUCAAACAGAUGAACCAGAUCUCAUGAGACCCCCUGUAUUCAGGCUUCAUCUUUACUGCUUCUCUACACCAUCAAAUCCUUGGCUCAGGCAGCUGUGACCUGCCACAGCAGCACUCGCACUGGUAAAUGAAUGUUUGACAAAUGGAGAACUCCUUGGCCUCUUUCUGCCUGUCUAGGGCAUCUGUGUGGAGUCUGGCAAGAAAGAAUUCCACUAAUCUGGAAAGGGAUCCCUGAACCCUUAAGGGUAAAUGGC
rnacentral:lncRNA from 1 species